rnacentral:lncRNA from 1 species
GGCAACAUACCCUUGUGUGGCCAAGAAAACAAAUUUCCCAUCAUCAGGACCAUCCCGCACCUUGCACAGAACCAGCGUUUAAUGAGAAUGAGGAACGCCUGUGUGAGAACACAAAGACUAUCGAAACCAUGGUGUAAGGAGAGAAUCAACUCCUGCAAGUUAAAUCCUCUGACCUCUAUACUCUCUCCAUGACAGGGUUCCUUUGUGUCACAGCUCUGGCUAUCCUGGACUAGCUCUAUAAACCAGGCUGGCCUCGAACCCACCUGCCUCUGUCUCCCAAGUGCUGGGAUUAAAGGCAUGCACCACCACCACUCCACUCUGGAUUCAAUUUGAAUAGGUGGGUUUUUCCAGAAAACACCUGAGCUUCAUGCAUCCUGGGC